UACAGAGGUCUCAAGCGUUGUUCGGAUUCAUUGGGCGUAAAGGGUGCGUAGGUGGCGCGCUAAGUCAGGUGUGAAAUUUCGGAGCUUAACUCCGAAACUGCAUUUGAUACUGGCGUGCUUGAGGACUGGAGAGGAGGCUGGAAUUCACGGUGUAGCAGUGAAAUGCGUAGAGAUCGUGGGGAAGACCAGUGGCGAAGGCGGGUCUCUGGACAGUUCCUGACACUGAGGCACGAAGGCCAGGGGAGCAAACGGG
rnacentral:rRNA from 1 species